UACGAAGGGGGCUAGCGUUGUUCGGAAUUACUGGGCGUAAAGGGCGCGUAGGCGGUGUGUCAAGUCAGGCGUGAAAGCCCCGGGCUCAACCCCGGAACUGCCUUUGAUACUGGCAUUCUCGAGUCCGGAAGAGGUGAGUGGAAUUCCGAGUGUAGAGGUGAAAUUCGUAGAUAUUCGGAGGAACACCAGUGGCGAAGGCGGCUCACUGGUCCGGUACUGACGCUGAGGUGCGAAAGCGUGGGGAGCAAACAGG
rnacentral:rRNA from 1 species